CCAAACUUGCCAAAAGACAAGACAAAACCAAACUUGCCAAAAGACAAGACACUACCCUUUAAACCAAUGCUCUUUAUGACUUCAACGACAACUCGUCCCCUGCCCCAGUGAGAAACAAAAACUUUCUCACAGUCAAUUUUACAAACACUUUCCGUGCAAGCCCAUCAAAACUAACCCCAGGACACUCAGUCACACGUAGCUCGAGCCUUAGAGAUCGGAGAUGCGACGACGAGAAGCAGCAGCCAGCAGUCACCGAUGCAACAACGCGAAGUCAAGCCAUUGACGCUGCCGCGACGCACCGACGAGAUCUGCUACCGCCUGCUACUUGUGACAACGGCGAACCCGACCUUGCGACGGUGGCGAACCCAGUCGAGAGUUGUUUGACUUGCUUACGGGACAGCGGAAGGCGGAAGGCGG
rnacentral:lncRNA from 1 species